AAAAGCGCCGCGGAAAACCUGCAGGCUGCAUAAGCAUUCGUCUUCGAACCGUGACCACGGAUGUACUGGCACGGUUCGUCGAGACGAGAGGAGAGGUCGGGCUUUGCCCGGCCUUUUUGCUU
rnacentral:sRNA from 1 species